CUAAGGAUAAACGGAAGCACGUUUGGGUAUUGUUUAGUUUUGAGAGGUCUUGUGGGGCCUUAGCUCAGCUGGGAGAGCGCCUGCUUUGCACGCAGGAGGUCAGCGGUUCGAUCCCGCUAGGCUCCAUUGAAUCGAAAGAUUCAAGUAUUGUCCAUUGAAAAUUGAAUAUCUAUAUCAAAUUCCAUAUGUAAGUAAUUACAUAUAGAUAGUAACAAGAAAAUAAACCGAAACGCUGUGAAUAUUUAAUGAGUUAGGUCGAAAGGCCAAAAAUAA
rnacentral:tRNA from 1 species